GUGUUCGUUGAAAGGAGAGAUAUCUGGCAUCUAGCCUGACAGGGAAAGGAACAGCCAUAGGGCGUAGGUUAAGGCUAUACUCAGUUCCGUGGAUCUAUAACCCCCAAUUUUA
rnacentral:ncRNA from 1 species